rnacentral:rRNA from 1 species
CAUAGCGACUAUCGUGGCAUAUCAAUAAGCGGAGGAAAAGAAACUAACAAGGAUUCCCUUAGUAACGGCGAGUGAAGCGGGAAGAGCUCAAAUUUGAAAUCUUCAAGGUUCUACCUUGACGAAUUGUAGUUUAUAGAAGUGUUUUCUGUUAGUGGAGUGGCAAAAGUUCUUUGGAAUAGGACAUCAUAGAGGGUGAGAAUCCCGUAUUUGGUCAUUCCUCCUAGCGUUGUGAUACACUUUCAACGAGUCGGAUUGUUUGGGAAUGCAGUCCAAAAUGGGUGGUAAAUUUUAUCUAAAGCUAAAUAUUGGCGAGAGACCGAUAGCGAACAAGUACCGUGAGGGAAAGAUGAAAAGAACUUUGAAAAGAGAGUUAAACAGUACGUGAGAUUGUCAAAAGGGAAGCGUUUGACACCAGUGUUGUUCUUCCGAAAAUCAAUUACGAAUGUUUUAUUUUUGAGGAGUUAUGACUUCAUCGGCUUGCUUCCUCUCUUUAUGAAACUUUCUUAAUGCACUUUUCGGUUAACAAGUCAACAUCAAUUUCUUUUGUUGUAAAAGGGUAUGAGGAAGGUGGCUUUCUUUUCGGAGAAAGUGUUUAUAGCCUUGUACCUCUGCAAUCGGAGAGAUUGAGGUCUGCAGCGUAGAUCCUUCGGGGUUAGAUACAUUUGUGCUAAGUUAUAGCUUUUCAUAGACAACUUGUUGACUAUGUUUAGUCUUGUAGCUUACUCGCAGAUGCUAUUUUACCUACGCUUAGGAUGUUGAUAGUCACAGCGUGUAC